CCCGGCCGGAGAGCCCGGCUGGGCUCCGCCCCCUGGGCCUGUGGCGCCUCGGGGUCCUAAUGCGAGCGCGGAGGGACACGCGUGCCCCUGGGAGGGCGUCUGCCGGUCGCCCAACUGGCCCACCAGCUGCGGGACAGCGAUGCCAUGGCCCCCUGCCCACUCGGGCCUCUGGCAGCUCUGGUUCAGCGGCCGGUGGCAGCUCCACAUGUCUCACCACCUGUGGCGGGUCCCCAGCUGGGAGAGGCCAUUGACACAGCACCCCAGCACAAGAGCAGGGUCCCCGUCCCAGCAUGCUGGCGACCCCGAGCUGCCCCCCACGGUGACCCUGUCCCAUGCCGGUGGCACGGCGCUGGAGGAGGCAUUGGUGGGGCAGGGGUAGGAGCAGAGCGUGGCCCAGCACCAGCUCCAGGAGAACCUGUGCAUCCUCAGAGCCACAUCAUCAGGAUGAUGACCAUGGGUGACAGCACCGUGCUGCGGCUGGUGCUGGCAGUGCCGGUUCCAUUGGUGGUGCCAGUGGUGGUGCCGAUAUCUGUGCCGGUGCAAUUUCUGGCACCAGUGCUACUUCCUGUGCCAGUGGUGGUGCCAACACUGGAGCCAGUGCCAGUACCAGUGCUGUGGUGUUGCUGAUGCCAUCACCGAUGCUGGUGGAGCUGGUGCCCACUCCCAAAGGGGUGGAGGGAGGUGGGCAAGGAGCCCGGGGCAGAGGAGCUGGGGAGGUCCCACGGGAUGCUGGGUGGACCCUGCCGUGGCUCGUCCCUGGUGCCAGGGGCUGCCAAGUACUGCAAACUGCUGCAGACCCUCCAGCCCCAGAUGAUGAUCGUGGAUGAGGCCAUGGAGAUCCUGGAGGCACACAUCCUGGCCCACCUCAGCACCUCAGCCUUGCUGGGGACUGGCAGCAGGGCCGCUCAUCCUGGCUGCAUUGUCACCUCGGCUGGUGGCAUCCCUUCCACACAGGGGUUUGGCAUCCCCCCCCGAAGACAGGCACUGCCCACACCACCGGUACCUGGAGAGUGGCUCCACUGGGAGCCGGCACACCAACCACAAACCAUCCCCAUCGCCAACGCAACAGCCUCGACAAUAACGUUGGGGCUCACAGGACAUGGAAAAGCUGCUGCUGGAGGGGCCUGGGGGGAGCCAGCUCACCUCCAAAGCAUUCCGGCAUCCCAGUCAUCGCCCAAAUACCUCAAGGUUCAAGCGUAUGGCAAAAUUGGGGUCUGCAGCCGCUGCCUGAUCCACUGGUGUUGCCAACCAGAGCCUGGCUGUCAGGAGGUGCCAGCAAGGAAAGAGCCUUCACUGCUGGAUGCUUUAUUAUGAAUAAAAGGGUUCUUUUAGCAUCAAAACCACGCUGGAAGAGCCCUAAAUAAGGGAGUCAGGGCAGCAGGAGCAGCCCUGGCUGCUUUUCCAAGUGGCUGUCGGUGGUGGAGAGGGACAUGCCUCCCCCAGGCACCGGCAAAGUGCACACGGCUGCCAGGGUAAGAGCUGGCAGGGUCCGUCCUUCUCCAGACCCCUCAGCUGCCUGCAGCCGGGCAGGCCAGGCAGCAUGUGCAUUGGCACCGGGGGUCUCGGCUCCGACAGCCCUGGUACUGGUGCAAAGCCCCUCACCCCCUACUGCUGCACUGUGCUGUGCCGUGCCAUACCGGCAGCAGGACAUGGUCAGUGCGUGAACCACUGCGCAUCUCUGGAGAGAGCUGAGCACACACGUGUGAACAGCCUGUGAUGCACAGAGACCCCCAGGAAAAGCCCACUACCCACCAGCCCCUCAGGAGAAGUCCACUGCCUGCCAACACCCCAGGAAAAUGCCGCCUCCCCCAAGCCCCCUAGAAGCCCACCAGCUCUCCAGGACAAGCAUACCAGUCCCCCAGGAGAAGCCCACCGCCCCCCAGGAGAAGCCCACUGCUCACCAGCCCCACAGGAGAAGCCUACUGCCUGCCAACCCUCCAGGAGAUGUUCACCACCCACAAGCCCUGCUGGAACCAGCGAUCCAGCAGGGAGGUCCAGCCCCAGCCCUGGCUCCUACCUUUGUCUGGAGGAGCAGUGGGACCACUGGGGGCUCCUGCUCCCCUCCCACACCCCUCGGGGGGACGGGCAGAGCUGCAGCCCCUGCCCUGGGGCCACCCAGAGCCCAGCUUGCCAGCCACACGACGGGGGCCCUGCCUGAUGGGACGCCCAUUGCUGCGGUGGGUUUACCAGGUCGCCCUGACAGCUGCUCACACCAGAGGGAAACCCGGGGGACAAGGAAACCAGGCAGGAUCGCAGGCCAGCAGCCCCGGCAUCCCUGUGGAAGCCCCCACUCGUCAGGGACUUGCUGAUCCCCAGGGUCCCAGAAUGAAGUAAUUCGGCAAUGUGUCCUGCUCUGGGAAAUCUGUUUCUCUGGGUAGCAGGGAGGUGGGUUUGAAUGGUGCCAGCCACGCACCGAUCCCCUCGUGCCAGGUUUGCUGGAGCCUGGGCUGCUCCUGCCCACUGCCUCCACAUCCAUCCCUCUUGGCCUUGAGCUGGGUCCUGGGCUUGCUGGAGCUGUGCUGGAGCUCUGCUAAACCCAAAUCCACACCACUGAGGGCUGGGAGGAGCCCCCAGCCCCAAAUCGCCCGCGCCGUGCCGGUGUGCUGAGAGCUGCUGAAGGAUGCCGGUGCAGGCAAGUCUCUGGCAAUGAAGGAACGCUGUCCCUGGGGCAGACGAUGAAGUCGCUGCUGGGAAUGAUGGCUGUACACACAAGUGGCACUCGGGCAGAGCCCUGAUGUGGAUGCAGCCGCCUCAGCUGCCCCCUGCAUCCUGCACCGGCCCUGUCCCAGGCUGUGCCCAGGCUUUGGGGCAUCCCGGAGCUCCCUGUGCUCAUUAGAGCAGCUGUGCUUCACUAGCUAUGACCUUCCAAAGCCAGAUUUCUGCUCUGCUUCCAGGUGGCUCUGCCGCUUCGACACUUGCACUGCCGGCGCGAGAUGUGAAGGGUUUGCACUACAGGGCUGCAUUGAACAUUCCCUGGGUACCCGAAGCUCCGGCGCUUCCUGAACCACAGCCUGAGUGAUGCACCAGCAACCAGCCUCUGUCUGCCCGCUAACAGCUCGUUAGUGUCCCGCUUUAAUGAGAGGUUAAACACCAGCCUUCCUCUCCACAUAGGGCGAGCCCACAGCACAAGCCUCACACCCCAGAGUAAUGGUCGCCUCAGUUCCUCCUCGGAUGGAGGUAGCAAAGACAUGGCAGUUGUGGGGAAAAAUCUUGCCAGAGGCUGGUUAAUACCAAAAAUAUUGAUGUUUCAGGUUGGAGGUCUCUGACAUCUGACGGCACCAGCCUGUCUCUGGCCAGCUGCUCCAGUCCCAGCGUUCCCAGUGUGCCAUGCACCACAGAGCCGGGAUUUCUGGACACAGCAUCAACUGGGAACAUCACCAUGAACUCUGGCUUAAAGAUAUCCUUUGAAAUGAAGGCAGCUCAGCCAAAACCUACAAAAUGUCCAGCAAGUGAAGACCCAAAACGCCCCAAACCUGAUUCAAGAGAGGAUAAAGCCAUAAGACAGAGGAUAAAGUAGUAACUGGAAGUGAAGAGAGACCGAACAGUCAGAGGGAGCCUGCUGCUGCUGCUGCUUGGGAGAAGGCAGAGGGGGAAGGACACCCUGAAGGAGCACUGAAAGAAAUAGGCGUUUCUAGAAAAAAAAACCAAACCCAUCUGCCACACCAGUGGGACAGGACCUCCCUGGUCCACACCAGGUCACGAGUAGCCAAGUGAUGGCUCAGAGAUGCGCUGAGCUCCUCCAGCUCUGCGGUCCUUCCCAGGCUGUGCUUGGGGGAUGCGCUCUGCUGCACGGCCGCAUUGAGAGGGCAGGGGGGUCCUGCGGCCAGGGCUGACAAUGCUCUGCACCGCACAGAGCCCGCGGCACGAGCCCUGGCAUGGCAGAGCCUGCCCUGGUUCAGCCACAGGGUUUCUGUGCCAGGAACAGGUGGGCAGAGCUGCACCGUUGCUCUCUUGGGAGUAAAGCCCCCUCCUCAGUGCCAGUGGAGGCUGGUGGGCUCCCAGCUGCUCCUUUUGGGCUCGAUGGGAUGGGCGGUGAGGGACAGACACGCUUCCCAGGGAGGGAAAACACCGUUUCUGCUGCCAUCACCGCGGGCUUGGUUAGGCAGUGCCUUCCUAAUGGUGCCUGAGAGCCAGCACAAUGCUGCUGGUGCCGCCACAGCCGGUCCAACCAGUGGUAUUUAAUACUUUAAUUAAUGAAGGAACACAACGAGCCUGCCUGUUAAGGGCAGGCAGUGCCCAGCCAGCACUGAGCAGAAGCACCAGAAGCUGUGGGGGCAUCGGGAGGGUGGGGCAGGACCCACCGGUGGUUCAGCACUGAACAGCUGGAGAUGCUGGAAGUGCCCCGGCCGGCCCAUGCCCAGCACCCACCAGCAGGCACACGGAGGCAGGGAGCUCCGUGGUGCCACGGAGCCAGGCAGGGCCAGCAGCUACACCAGGGAUGCAACUCAGGCUGUCCCAGAGACCCUCCCGGCUCCAGGGCCACAACGGCCAGGGCAGGCAGCUGGCUGGGGCAAUAGGGGACACGUGGCACGCCAAGCAGCUGUGGUCACAGCCUCAGACAGGUCCUGGGGGGCUCUGGGCACUCCCUGUGCAACACCCGCAAGAUGAAGGGCCAGCAGCAUCCCCAGAGAGAGGCAGUGGCGACCUGGGGGAGACUGAGAGCCCUGGGAGCCCCUGGCGCCUGCGCAGUGGCGUGCUGGGCACAGCAUACCCCCAGUUCUGUGCCUGUGUCCCUGUGGGGGCUGCUCAGUG